GCAAAACCAAUUAAGUAAAAGCCAACACAAAAAUGAAGAGCCAAGGUUGCCUUUUUUGUGCCUCCUGAAGAACAUUCCUUCUUGCCAUCUACCAUGGGCAGCUGUGAGAAAGAAUAAUUCCCCUGGAGUUCCUGAGCUCCCCCUCUCCCCACCUGGCAGAGUUGAGGCCAGGGCAGCUGUGCCUGCCUGGAUCAGCACCUCCUCUACUUUUCUGGAGGUACCUGCAAGAGCUUCAAGCUGAGCCAGACAACAACAGAGGGCAAUAGAUCUCUAGAAAAGAUCUCGGCUGCAGAAGGGUUUCCAGUCGAUCACGGAGAUGGCGAUGUCGGCAGCUCUUUGCACGGCCUCGCUGGGAUCCUCCAGACAGCGCUGAAAUGUGUCCCUGUGAAGCAGCAGCGCCUGGCGGCCCUCUGGCAGCUCCGCCAGCAGGGUGAGGGUUUUGAUCGCAUUCAAACGCGCUUUGCUGGUUUCCUCAGCAACCAGCCUCACUAAAGGUGGAAGGGCUUCAGCACCCAUGGCUGAGGACCUCCCUGUGGGGAAAUAAAGCGGCUUUGAAAUGUGUUAUGACAUCUGAUCAUCGCUCUUUUGGACUGACAACGUUCCAUUCCCUGCCCGGCUACAGCUCCGAACAGCCCUGGAGGUGCAGUGCACAGAGGCACAACGUGCUCUCCUUUCAGAGACCAAGGUUGGCUCCCAGCUGUUUAUUUUUAAGGAAAAAGGUCCUUCAUGGUUAACUUUAUCUGCCUUGCACAUUAGUAUUUCAUUUGCAACAAAUUAUCUAAAAAUAUACCAGGCACCAACGAUAAAAUAACCUAUGUUUUGGAGCGGGGGGAGGAGGAGCGGAGCGUGGUAGAUGCCCUUAAGAACAUCUGCCAGCCUUUCAUUUUUAAAAACUCUUCAAAGACCGAGAUCCACUCCUGAGUUGUCUUUGGAAGCCCGAGGAAGGUUUGCAUAGGAGGACUGGAACACAACUGCUGUUAUUGAGUCUUUUAUGUCUAAUUACUCAUUCAUCACACUGGAAAUUUAGCAGUUAGUAUUUUCUGUGCCAUGUAAGUUACUUGGGAGAGCUACAGACCUUAUUAAUAUUCAUUGCUCUCCCAGCUGUGAGAGAGGAGCUGCCUCUAAUCCCAGAAUAUUUCCAGAGAGUAGCGCUGAUUCAGUGGAGCUCCAGGUUUGUGGAGCUCCAGCUUUGUGGAUCUCUGUGCGGUCUGGACUUGAAUGGAAAAUGUUCCCCCUCUGGAGGGAAAUGAUACAGGUGAGGUAGAUAAAUAACUUCUUGACCUACUUGGGGGAAUGAAAUGUGAAAUAUCCUGUCCCCCCCUAGGCACUGUGAGGGAGCAACAACAGUUGCUUCCGACAGUUAUAAAGAAAUGUCCCAAUCUUAGAGUUUCUUGACGAGCAUUAAAUCUGUCAGAAACUGAGGGCUUGGCAGGGGGCAAAUGCUUUGUUACUUAGUUGCCUUAGAAUUGGAUUUCCAGAGGUACCCCAAAAGAAAUGCCCCUGUCUCUCACCCUGAGGCUUAACAAGAGCAAACAUCAGCGCUCCUGUCGAGCUAGCUUGAACUUCGGGCUGCGCGUCUUCCAGCAGGCUCACCAGCACAGGAAUCACCUCUUCUUUGCACACCGCGAUUUUCCCCUCAGCAUGAGAACUGUGCAGAGAAGAUGGUGAAGUUGUUUCCUCGAUCCGUGCCUGCUGCCCGUGCAGCCCCGUGUGCCCCUGAGCCCGCCCCGGUGCCAGCAGCGCCGUCACACCCUCGGUGCUCCCCCGCAGGGACCGUCCUGCCUGUGCCUGCUGAGCACACCUGCUGCUGCGGGCUGGAGGAGCCCACGCUGACCUGACUGGACAAGCUUCAUGAUAAUUUAGGUUAUUUUUAGGUGAUAUCUGGAUUUUUAAAAAGCUUUCUGUGGUACAGUGGACACUGAUGGGUAGGUGCAUGUAACAGGAUGUAGGAAUAAGGGUGUUGCUAGUGCUAAUUGCAACCGAGUUACAAACCUGGCUGGUGAAGCCUCUGGAGAUUUAAAAACCCGCUAAAUCAGAGGGCUGAAGUAAAUUCUUCUCCUAGAUCACUUUUCUCUCUCUUUCCAGCCUCUCUAAUGAGGAGAAUAUUUAAUGUGGCCCAGCCACUGCAGGGACCUAGAACAUAGCUCAUGUCCAUAUUUCAGUUGCAUUUUGCUUUCUUUCUAUGACUCACGUUAAUUAUACUCUUUUCCUCUAAGACCUCUCUUGAUUAUAGGACAUGUGGAAAUGUGUAGUGCCAGCUGAUAUGUAAACUACAUCAUCUGCUGACCUUUUAAAACUAGACAUUUGUUGAACCCUUAUUAUAUUUUCUGAUUGCAGUACGGUGGACUUAAGUUAUUCUUUCAUCCAUUCUCUGAUACGCAAAUUUAAUGGAAAGAUUGCUUUCUCUGAUCAAUUUCUGAUGUAUGUAGCAGCCUGUGGCAGAAAACUAUUUCUGUCUUCAAUCACAGUGAAAGUUUCCAAGGACCUCUAAUUUUCUGAGAGACCACUUUUCAAAAAUACAAGGGAGAUCCUCCCUACCCCAUAGUGGUCAGAAUCCUGUUUCAUACAAGAUUUUUCAUGCAAGAAUUUUUUCCUAGCAGUGCUGUACCAGGAAAAAAACCCCUGAUUCUACUGCCGAUACUGAAAACAAACAGAAGGAGAAUGAAUGACUGAUCAGCAUCUGCUUUCUUCAGUGAUUUAUAGCAGUUAGGAAUUUUUUAAGCCCCAUGUGUCCCAUUUUGUUUUACCCAUGCGUGCAUUCAGGCUGAUUGUGCUUUACGUGUGGAAUGUGGCAGCUUCAGUGUGUAGUGGAACACAGCUGUAAAUGAAUGGCAUUUAUUUACUCCUGGAAUUAGUUCUUUCUUGGACUUAAGCCUUAGAGAGGUUUGUUUACCUGAUUUCUAAGAGGACCCAGGCUGCUUUGCUUCUGAUGGCAGUGGAGGGGUGUGAGAGCCUUUCCUUCAGCACAGUAACAGCACCAGCUGCCAGAGCUUCAGAAACCUCCACACGGAGACAGUUGGAGAGUGUCUCAAGGAUGAGCUCCUGGAUCUCAUCCAACUCUGUCUUCAACUUCAGGACCAGUGAGGGAAUCAAAGCAGCCCGCAGGACACCACCAGCCCCUGCACAGGGGACAGGGAAGGAACAUGGAUGAGAGUUGAGUGCAGUUACUAUUGCCCCUUGCACCUGGAACUUCUUCAGAGGAUCAAAACACAUAUGGGAACUCGUUUCCUUACACAGAAGUGGGAUUGAGAGAUGGAACUGCUCCAACACUGCCCUGUUUAUAAAUGUCAUCUUAGCAUUGCUUCUUCAGGGAGC